CUACAAUCUGGAGUCCUUGACUGUCACUCAACUGCUUCCUCUUUCCCAGGGAGCAAUGAUUUUUCUACACAGGAUCCCAAAGCAGAGCAAGCAUGAUGAAAGGGAAUCAAGAUAGGAACUUCCCCAUGCAGCCUAAGGGCCAAUACCAGCAAUUUGCCGUCCUCCACCACCAUGCCUUGGCCUGAAAGAGUUGGGCAGCCACAGUUUUCAGGAAAAAAAAAUCUGGAAAAACUGGAAACCCAAGAGGAAAAAGCUCAGAAUCUUAUCUGUACUUGAAGACUUUAACAAAGUUGUCAUGCAAGGCCUGGAGAUCUAGCUGCAGUUCAUAUUCCUUGACAAUGCAAAAUUCCUUAGGCAUGGUUUAAAAAAAGCUUGACAAAUUAGGUACACCCAGCCAAAGCAGUCUGUGAAAAGUUGUAUCUAUUAAAAGACUGCUUUUAAUUAUCAUCCUGCAUAGGUACACCUCCUGGAAAAAUGGAGAGUGAAAGCUAUUGUGCAUAUAGGUAACAGGGGUUAGCAACCUUUAAUUGGAGGGGGACACAGCCAAAGAGGAGCUCUGGGGAAUAAGUAGUAUUGAAUGGCUGACCAGAG
rnacentral:lncRNA from 1 species